rnacentral:lncRNA from 1 species
UUGCAUGAAAUUCGUAGGAGUUUAUCACCCAUUACUUCUAGUGUUGUUCCUUGCUGUUUUAAAGUGUUUUAAGUUGUUUUGGAGUGUUUUGGAGUGUUUUGACAUAAAAAUCCAAAAAUCUCAUAAAAAUUUGAAAAACUGUUUUGAAAAACCUAAAAAAAGAGUUGUUUUUGUGUGUUUAUUUGUGUCUUAGGGUACCUUCCAACACAAUGAUGAGGAUUUGGUUUUUAAUUACAUGACUGUUAAAGAGAGUUAUAACAUGGAUGAAAAUUUGAUUUACUCUUUGGUGUAUGCUUGGUUGUGGUUAUAAUUUAUGAAUUCACAUGCAAUCAUAAAGGCAAAAUCAGUUUUUGUAACAUGCUUGAAGGAAGGAACUCAAAUGAACGCUACAACCUU